ensembl:piRNA 21ur-14466 ncRNA
UUAUUGUCUUUUGUAUUUCAU